AUGAAUGAGCUUCGGAAGGAAAUGCUUCGUUUGCCAGAGUUAUGCGCACAGAGGAUGAUUGAGAAACUGAACAAAACCGGCGUCUUCUACAAACCCAGUAACCUGGAAGAAGACGAAGAGAAUCUGUACGGAGGCAUUAAUGAGUCUUCAAACGAUGGUGGACUUCCGAAAAAAGAGUUUGUAUAUCAAAAAGAUGAUUCAGACCGGUUCCGCACACCUUCCAAAAUGAAUUUGCAAAAGGAUGAUGACGGCGUUGAUGUAACUUCUCGUGGAAACACACCUUUUUACUACACACCUGAGUACUGGGAUAGUUUCAAGGGUGAUAUGGAUGAUCCUAUCCAAGUACCAGAAGUAUCAGAUGAAAAAGCUACCACAUCUUUAGGGACGGACGAGAUCGCAUCGCAUGCAUCGCUUGGUUCUCAAGAAGUACAAGAGGAAGUGGAGGAGGUAAUUAAUGCAUACUCAUCAUAUUUGGUCGACAAAGUUAAUGAUGAUCGUUUCAUGUUGACAACUUGGAGGAUACAUUGGUUGCUUCACAUUAGACCCGGAAAGAAGACCGCCGGUAACGAUUAUGAAGUAGAGUCGCAUAGUAAUGGGCCCGUGAAUAGAUGUGAGGACGAGUAUUUCAAAAAAUCAAAGAGAAAACAACUAGCAGAAAAUAUCCAAGAAGCAAAUGCAACCGGAAUUGUGAAUUAUCCGGAUGUUUCCAAUUGGCCUAUUCAAACGUAUGACAUGCCAAAACAACAUGAUGGGAAUUCGUGUGGAAUAUUUCUCCUUCGAUGCUUUCAAUAUUGGGAUGGUGACAAAUGGACAGGCUUAUUUUCACAUAGGUCAAUUGAUGAUUCGAGAGAGGUAAUGAUAGCGCAACUUAUCUUUUCGGAAAGAAACAAGCUUGAUGAAGUGAAAAACAAAGUUAUUCGGAUAUCAAAGAAGAAGAAAUAG
rnacentral:rRNA from 1 species